CAGUCGCCACGGGAAUACGUAGGUGGCAAGCGUUGUCCGGAAUUAUUGGGCGUAAAGGGCUCGCAGGCGGUUUCUUAAGUCUGAUGUGAAAGCCCCCGGCUCAACCGGGGAGGGUCAUUGGAAACUGGGGAACUUGAGUGCAGAAGAGGAGAGUGGAAUUCCACGUGCAGCGGUGAAAUGCGUAGAGAUGUGGAGGAACACCAGUGGCGAAGGCGACUCUCUGGUCUGUAACUGACGCUGAGGAGCGAAAGCGUGGGGAGCGAACAGGAUUAGAGACCCCCGUAGUCCCUGUCUCUUAUAC
rnacentral:rRNA from 1 species